rnacentral:rRNA from 1 species
UACGAAGGGGGCUAGCGUUGCUCGGAAUUACUGGGCGUAAAGCGCACGUAGGCGGCUUCUUAAGCCGGUGGUGAAAUCCUGGAGCUCAACUCCAGAACUGCCUUCGAUACUGGGAAGCUCGAGUCCGGGAGAGGUGAGUGGAACUGCGAGUGUAGAGGUGAAAUUCGUAGAUAUUCGCAAGAACACCAGUGGCGAAGGCGGCUCACUGGCCCGGUACUGACGCUGAGGUGCGAAAGCGUGGGGGGCAAACAGG